CAGAGCGUGGCUGAAAACUAAGCAUCUCCCUUACACCGAGAAGAUAUCCAUGAAAGUUGGAUCACUCUGA
rnacentral:tRNA from 1 species